AACGUAGGUGGCGAGCGUUAUCCGGAUUUACUGGGCGUAAAGGGUGUGCAGGCGGGGUAUCAAGUGGUGUAUGAAAGGAGGCGGCUCAACUGCCUCAUGUUAUGCCAGACUGAUGCUCUUGAGGACCAAACAGGGCUGUGGAAUUCCGGGUGUAGUGGUGAAAUGCGUAGAGAUCCGGAGGAACCCCAGAGGCGAAGGCGACUACCUGGCCUGUUCUUGACGCUGAGGCGCGAAAGCUAGGGGAGCAAACGGG
rnacentral:rRNA from 1 species